UACAGAGGUCUCAAGCGUUGUUCGGAAUUACUGGGCGUAAAGCGUGUGUAGGUGGCUGCGAAAGUCGGAUGUGAAAGCCCUGGGCUCAACUCAGGAAGUGCACCCGAUACUGCGUAGCUAGAGUACCGGAGAGGGUAGUGGAAUUCCCGGUGUAGUGGUGAAAUGCGUAGAUAUCGGGAGGAACACCAGUGGCGAAGGCGACUACCUGGCCUGUUUCUUGACGCUGAGGCGCGAAAGCUAGGGGAGCAAACGGG
rnacentral:rRNA from 1 species